rnacentral:rRNA from 1 species
UAGGGAAUCUUCGGAAUGGACGAAAGUCUGACCGAGCAACGCCGCGUGAGUGAAGAAGGUUUUCGGAUCGUAAAACUCUGUUGUUAGAGAAGAACAAGGACGUUAGUAACUGAACGUCCCCUGACGGUAUCUAACCAGAAAGCCACGGCUAACUACGUGCCAGCAGCCGCGGUAAUACGUAGGUGGCAAGCGUUGUCCGGAUUUAUUGGGCGUAAAGCGAGCGCAGGCGGUUUCUUAAGUCUGAUGUGAAAGCCCCCGGCUCAACCGGGGAGGGUCAUUGGAAACUGGGAGACUUGAGUGCAGAAGAGGAGAGUGGAAUUCCAUGUGUAGCGGUGAAAUGCGUAGAUAUAUGGAGGAACACCAGUGGCGAAGGCGGCUCUCUGGUCUGUAACUGACGCUGAGGCUCGAAAGCGUGGGGAGCAAACAGG